rnacentral:rRNA from 1 species
UACGAAGGGGGCUAGCGUUGUUCGGAAUUACUGGGCGUAAAGCGCACGUAGGCGGACUAUUAAGUCAGGGGUGAAAUCCCGGGGCUCAACCCCCGGAACUGCCUUUGAUACUGGUAGUCUCGAGUCCGGAAGAGGUGAGUGGAAUUCCGAGUGUAGAGGUGAAAUUCGUAGAUAUUCGGAGGAACACCAGUGGCGAAGGCGGGCUCCACAUGGUCCGGUACUGACGCUGAGGUGCGAAAGCGUGGGGAGCAAACAGG